rnacentral:rRNA from 1 species
CCCUUAGAUGUUCUGGGCCGCACGCGCGCUACACUGAUGCAGGCAGCAAGUGGAUUCAAUGGCUCUUUCUUCUUUUGGAGGGGAGCGUUGCAGCCUUGGCCGAGAGGCCUGGGUAAUCUUGGGGAAACUGCAUCGUGCUGGGGCUUGACGAUUGAAAUUAUUUGUCACAAACGAGGAAUUCCUAGUAAGUGCAAGUCAUAAGCUUGCGCUGACUACGUCCCUGCCCUUUGUACACACCGCCCGUCGCUACUACCGAUUGAAUGAUUUAGUGAGGACUUCGGACUGGGACCGAUGCGGCUUUCGGGCUGCGUCGGUAUUCUGGAAAGAUGUCCAAACUGUAUCAUUUAGAGGAAGUAAAAGUCGUANCA